CUCAUUAUUUUUUGAAUAAGCAAGUAGGAGGCGUACGCCUCACUACCGUGCAUAUUCAACAUCCACAAACAAACUUUCAAAACAAUCGAACGAAAAAGGAGUAGGAAGGCGUUCGCCUUAUUAUUCCUCGAAAGAAUUGAACGAUUGGUGUACACCAUAUUGCUCAAUCUUUCAUCGUUCCUCAAAACACCUUCACAAAUCAAAUUAAUGUCUCGCCCCCGUGCGACCAACAACUUAAAAAUUCUUUUCAAAAGAACAUUGUUA
rnacentral:lncRNA from 1 species